rnacentral:rRNA from 1 species
UACGGGGGGGGGCAAGCGUUGUUCGGAAUUACUGGGCGUAAAGGGCUCGUAGGCGGCCAACUAAGUCAGACGUGAAAUCCCUCGGCUUAACCGGGGAACUGCGUCUGAUACUGGAUGGCUUGGAGGUUGGGAGAGGGAUGCGGAAUUCCAGGUGUAGCGGUGAAAUGCGCAGAUAUCAGGAGGAACACCGGUGGCGAAGGCGGUCUCUGGGCCUUACCUGACG